GGCCCUGUGGCCUAGUGGAUAAGGCGACUGGCUUCUAUCCAGUCGAUCGUCGGUUCGAAUCCGACCAGGGUCG